GAGACCAAUUUGGCCUGGGGAGAACCGCCUUCAGGCGUUUGGACUCAGUGGAGGUUGUGAGUGCCCAGCAGUGUGGCCUGAAUCUCCGUGGGGUUUAGGGAGACGAAAGGACCCCAGAUCGACGUCCCCUCGUUCCCACUUUGGGGAUCGGCGCUCUGGCUGUUUCGUGAAGGAGAGAGAGGUUGAUUCCAUACCCUGGCUAUUGUGAAUAAUGCUGCAGUGAACAUGGGAGUACAUACAUCUGUUUGAGGAACUCAGAGUGGUUUUCCAGAUGGGAAUCACAUUGCUCUCUGUCCCUGAGAUCUUGCUGGAGACAGGGCUACUCAGUCCCUCUUUGCCAGGUAAUCUGUUCCAGAAGAAACAUGUGUCGUUCUGACUGAGCCCCUGCCUGUCUGUCACCUUAAGAGCCAGUCAAUUCAUAUGGUCCCCAUAUCAAAGUCUCCUGUGCCCAGAGAGAGGAUUUCAUUUCAACCAUCACCAUCACCACCAUCAUCAUCAUCACCAAGAGAUGUUGUUGAAUUGAUACUGGAAAAGCAGUUUCUAUUGAGCCCCCAAAUGAAGAGUGAGUGCAGAUGAAGAGGAGGCAGGACUCACAAGCCCUUGAACUUUAUUCCAGAUCUGUUAGCACCUACAGGACCCUGCACCAGGAUUUCAUCUGUACUAUCAGCUUCUUCAAAGAGAGAGAGGUUGUUGAAUUGAUAUUGGAAAAGCAGUUUCCCAUUGAGUCUCAAAUGAAGAGAGUGCAGAUGAAGAGGAGGUAGGAGUCACAAGCCCUUGACCCUCAUGCUAGACCCAUUACCACCCACAGGACCUUGCAGUGGGAUUUCAUCUGCACCAUCAGCUUCUUCAGAGAGAGAGGUUGUUGAAAGACUCUGUAUUGAACCAAGGUGCUCUACACAGUAGCCCCUACUAAGCUCCCAGCAGAUGCCAGCAUCAGUCAUCCAUCUCUUCAUGUGGAUGUCUGAGCUCAUAUCAGGUGUCUGAAAGAGGCAGAUUCUGAGGAUUUGGGUCAUGAUGGCUGCCAAAGCUUCUACUCCUGACUUAAAGGGCAACAAUCCUAGGAGACCACCAGCACUUACAUCCCUGGUAGGACAUGACACCUGCUUAUGGCUCAGAAGUGACAAAAGAGAAUUAUCAGGAUGGCAGUCCUUAUAACCAGAUGCUUAUCAACAUUCUUCACUACAUUCUGAAGAUGAAUUUCUACAAGGGAAAUUGUUUAUAUUUGUUGUUGGGGAUAGAUAAGGAAAGAAGAAAAAGGCUCUGGUGAGAAACCCAUUGUACCUUCUGGAUAUGAUCACUACCCAAUUUUAUCAGUGUCAUUGAUCACUAACCCAGUGCCUCGUAUGGUGCCAGGCACAGAGUUACUCCAAGAAUGUACAAUAAUGGCUGGAUUCUCUUUCUCCCUGUGCAACUCUUCAUGCAUGUGACUGAACUUAUAUUAAGUGUCUGAAGGAGGUUCGUUCUGAGGAUCUGGGACAUGAUGGGUGCUGAAGCUUCUACUCAAGAUUUGAAGGGCAGCUGUCCUCAGGAGACCCCUGGCACUUCCCUCCAUGGUGGGAUGUGAUGCCUGAUUCCAGUGAGUUCAUAGAGCUGAACAAAAGUACGUUGUGGAAUAGCUCCUGUGAGGUUCACAACAUAGUCCGGAAGAUGAGAAACUACUUUUUUUAGUAACCUGGAUUCCCAUCUAAGAGAUGCCUUACUUUAUCGUAAAGCAAUGAGUUGUUCACUUGAGGAGGGAACUUCAUGUUUAACAUGUAUUUGCAACAAAUUUACAUACAUUUUCUGCCUGUAUGAAUAGUUGUCAGUGAUGCCCAUGAAUUUCUCAGAUGGAUGUUGAAGUAUACAGUUAGAAGGUUAGAAGAUCUUCCUAGCAAUCUGUGAUUACGGUAUGCAUUCUUCCAUGGUUUCUACGUUUUUGUCUAUUCUAUAAUGAAAUUUUCUAAGAAGCCAGAAAUUAAUUAAGUGCUACCUAAAAAUAUCAAAAUGUCAGGUACAAGAAUUUGGCAUUUUCAAAAUUAGUAAUUACAAUGUAAGUUUGCCCUAUUAUAAUGAUACCCAGCUAUGUCCAGUAACAUAACUAGAUUGUUCUGAAUACCGUUAUUAUUUCCCAAUAAUACAAACAUCACAAUUUCAGUUCUGUAGUACCUGGCCUACCUACCCUUCCCACUGCCUUGCCCCAGGUAAACACAGCAUGCCUGUCACUAUACAUUAUUUUACAUGCCUGGAAAUAUAUUUAAAUGGAAUCAUAGAGGUGGUUUCUUUUUUUUUUUUUUAUCAACACCUGGCUUUUUUCAUUCACUCCACUUAUUUUUAUAUUUAUCCAUUUUAUUGCAUUUAUCUAUUGAUAUACUUCAUUCUUUUUGAUUGCUAAAUACUAUUGCGGUAUACAACCACACUAAACAUUUUAUUAUCCAUCCAUUUGUCGAUGGACAUUUUGGUUGUUUCUCAUUUGGGGCUCUUGUAAAUAAAGCUGCUAUGAACAUU
rnacentral:lncRNA from 1 species